rnacentral:lncRNA from 1 species
GCUGAGAGGACUUUUUUUCUCCCUCUGAUGAUAGAAAUGAAAGAACCCCGCCACUCCCCAACCUAUACUGUAAGAAAUCUGCUCUGGUUACCAAAUUCACACAUAAUGUCUUCAGUGCAAGACAAAUUUCAGUAUAUGCAAGAUUAAGAGAGGCAUUUUGGAUGAAAUUAUUGUUAAGUGCUUAUGAAAAGAAAACAUAAGUCCGGAGGGGCUUACCUGUCCCCCACAAGCCUCGUUUCGUGACAGGUUAAACCCACCUGUCCUUUGACAGCAGUGUGCUUGAACUUCUUUCACCUUUCCACUGUAUUUCGCAGCUGUAUUUCUUUGCAGCUGGCAUUUCAUUGUGCUAAAUGAGUUCUUUUAGUCUUUUUUUCAUGUUGUCUUGGGGGACAGACUCCAGUUGCCCUCCUGCUUCCCCUGUGUCUGGUCCUGAUGGAGAUCUGGGAAGCAGCUUUGUAGCUAUAUUCUACAGAAGGUGCCACCUCAGGCUCUGCAUCAAAUACCAGAAGCCCCAAGUCUUGGCACAUGCAGCAUUUUCAGGAGAAGAAUUGCAAACAGAACAGAAAUGUGCUUCUGCCACUGUAUGGUUCAGAGUAUUCCUGUAA